UACGUAGGGCGCGAGCGUGUCCGGAAUUAUUGGGCGUAAAGAGCUCGUAGGCGGUUUGUCGCGUCGGUUGUGAAAACCCAAGGCUCAACCUUGGGCCUGCAAUCGAUACGGGCAGACUAGAGUACUGCAGGGGAGACUGGAAUUCCUGGUGUAGCGGUGGAAUGCGCAGAUAUCAGGAGGAACACCGGUGGCGAAGGCGGGUCUCUGG
rnacentral:rRNA from 1 species